AUGCGGACCCCCACUCAGAUCCUGGGCCUGCUGUUGCUCUGCCUUAUAGGUGCCAGAGGAGAUAUCCAGAUGACCCAGUCUCCAGCCUUGCUAUCUGCAUCUGUGGGAGAAAGUGUCACCAUUACAUGCCAGUCAAGUCAGAACAUUGACAAUAUUUUAGCCUGGUGCCAGCAAAAAACACAGAACCCUCCUAAGCUCCUGAUCUGUUAUGCAUACAGCUUGGUAGAUGGGAUCCCAUCGAGGUUCAGUAGCAGUGGAUCUGGCACACAGUAUUCUCUCAAGAUCAGUGGCCUGCAGCCUGAAGACAUUGCAACUUAUUACUGUCAACAGGCUGUUAGUACCCCACCCACAGUAAUUCAAGCCACAACAUAA